rnacentral:rRNA from 1 species
GCGCAGCAGGCGCGAAACCUUCACAAUGCCCGAAAGGGCGAUGAGGGGACGCUGAGUGCCCUUCGGGGCUGUUCGGGUGCCUAAAAGCACCCGGAGUAAGGGCUGGGUAAGACCGGUGCCAGCCGCCGCGGUAAUACCGGCAGCCCGAGUGGUGGCCGCGUUUAUUGGGCCUAAAGGGUCCGUAGCCGGUCGGGUAAGUUCUUCGGGAAACCUCGCCGCUCAACGGUGAGGCUUCCGGGGAAAACUGCCCGACUUGGGACC